AGCGAACGCUGGCGGCAGGCCUAACACAUGCAAGUCGAACGAACCCUUCGGGGUUAGUGGCGGACGGGUGAGUAACACGUGGGAACGUGCCUUUAGGUUCGGAAUAACUCAGGGAAACUUGUGCUAAUACCGACUGUGCCCUUCGGGGGAAAGAUUUAUCGCCUUUAGAGCGGCCCGCGUCUGAUUAGCUAGUUGGUGAGGUAAUGGCUCACCAAGGCUACGAUCAGUAGCUGGUCUGAGAGGAUGACCAGCCACAUUGGGACUGAGACAGGGCCCAAACUCCGACGGGGGGCAGAAGUGGGGAAUCUUGCGCGAUGGGAGAAGGGCUGACGAAGCCAUGCCGCGUGGAUGAUGAAGGUCUUAGGAUUGUAAAAUCCUUUCACCGGUGAAGAUAAUGACUGUAGCCGGAGAAGAAGCCCCGGCUAACUUCGUGCCAGCAGCCGCGGUAACAC
rnacentral:rRNA from 1 species